rnacentral:lncRNA from 1 species
AUGAGAAAAAAAAAUGCAGUGAUUGGUGCUGGGGUCAGCGGAUUAGAUGCCAUUAAGAGCUGCUUGGAGGAGGGACUCGAGCCUGUAUGUUUUGAAAAAAGCAAUGAGAUUGGAGGACUGUGGAGAUACGAGGAAACACCUGAAAGUGGAAGGCCUGGGAUAUACAAAUCUAUGAUCUUCAACGCUUCAAAGGAGACGACAGCCUUCAGCGACUACCCUUUCCCUGAUCAUUAUCCCAACUAUUUGCACAAUUCCAAAAUGAUGGAGUAUCUCAGGAUGUACACCAGGCACUUUCACCUCAUGAAGCACAUCCAGUUUCUGUCAAAGGUGUGCAGAGUGAGGAAGCACCCAGAUUUUUCAUCCUCUGGCCAGUGGGAUGUUGUGGUAGAAACCGAUGGGAAGCAGAAAUCCUAUGUCUUUGAUGGGAUCAUGACUUGCAGUGGCUAUUACAAUUAAAAGUGUUUGCCCUUAAAGGAUUUCCCUGGGAUCGAGAACUUCCAAGGUCCAUAUCUCCACACCUAGGCAUACAAGCAUCUCGACUAUUUUGUGGGGAAGAGAGUGGUUGUGGUCAGCAUUGAGGAUUCUGGAGCAGAUGUGGCUGGCGAGAUCAGUCAUGUUGCUGAACAGGUUUUCCUCAGUACAAGACAAGGUGCAUGGAUAUGGAACCGGGUUUGGGAUAAUGGGAAUCCCCUUGAUAUCACACUCUUCACUCAUUAUAAUAGAAUAAUGGAAAAAAUUUUCCCCACAUUCAUGAUCAACAGAUGGGUAGAAAAUAAAUGAAAUGCAAGGCUUAACCAUGACAAUUAUGGGCUACAGCCUCAACACAGGCUACUGUGAAUGAUGAUCUGCCUAACCACAUAAUUUCUGGAAGAGUCCUGAUGAAACCAGACAUGAGAGAGUUCACCACAACAUCAGCCUUCUUUGAGGAUGGCACUGAAAAGAACAUUGAUGCUGUCAUCUUUGCUACAGGCUACACCUUGUCUUUCCCUUUCUUGGAGGAUGACUCAGCAAUCCUGGACAGCCAGUACUCCGUGUUUAAAUUUAUGUUCCCUCCCCAGCUGGAGAAGCCAACACUAACCUAGCUUCAUUGGCAUUCUCCAGCCAGUGGGAGCCAUCAUUCCCAUUUCAGAACUCCAGAGCCGAUGCGCUGUGCAAGUAUUCGAGGUACUGAAAAAAUUACUCUCCACAAGUGCCAUGAUAGCUGACAUCAACAGGAGGAAAAAGAAAAUGGCAAAAGAGUUUAUAAAAAGCCCAAGAGAUACACAUCAAGUGCCAUGUAUUGACUACAUGGAUGAAAUUGCAUCUGAAUUAGAGUCAAACCCAACCUGUUCUCUCUCCUCCUCUGGGAUACAAGGUUAGCCAAAGAGAUUUUCUAUGGGCCUUGCACCGCAUGUCAAUAUUGCCUACAGGGGCCAGGGAAAUGGACCAGGGCCCAGAAGGCCAUUCUUACUGAAAGAGACCGGAUCCUCAAACCCCUGAGAACACGUGUGGUC